rnacentral:rRNA from 1 species
UGGGGAAUCUUGCGCAAUGGGCGAAAGCCUGACGCAGCGACGCCGCGUGGGGGAUGAAGGCCCUCGGGUUGUAAACCCCUUUCGGCAGGGACGAAGCGAAAGUGACGGUACCUGCAGAAGAAGCCCCGGCUAACUACGUGCCAGCAGCCGCGGUAAGACGUAGGGGGCGAGCGUUGUCCGGAUUUAUUGGGCGUAAAGCGCGCGCAGGCGGCCCGGUAAGUCGGGUGUGAAAUCCCACAGCUCAACUGUGGAAUUGCACUCGAUACUGUCGGGCUAGAGGCAGGUAGGGGAGAUCGGAAUUCCCGGUGUAGCGGUGAAAUGCGCAGAUAUCGGGAGGAACACCGGUGGCGAAGGCGGAUCUCUGGGCCUGUCCUGACGCUCAGGCGCGAAAGCUAGGGGAGCGAACAG